GACGAACGCUGGCGGCGUGCUUAACACAUGCAAGUCGAGCGGUAAGGCCCUUUCGGGGUACGACGAGCGGCGAACGGGUGAGUAACACGUGGGUGACCUGCCCUCAGCUCUGGGAUAAGCCUGGGAAACCGGGUCUAAUACUGGAUAUGACUCCAUGACGCAUGUUGUGGGGUGGAAAGCCUUGUGCGGCUGAGGAUGGGCCCGCGGCCUAUCAGCUUGUUGGUGGGGUGAGGCCUACCAAGGCGACGACGGGUAGCCGGCCUGAGAGGGCGACCGGCCACACUGGGACUGAGACACGGCCCAGACUCCUACGGGAGGCAGCAGUGGGGAAUCUUGCGCAAUGGGCGAAAGCCUGACGCAGCGACGCCGCGUGAGGGAUGAC
rnacentral:rRNA from 1 species